UCAGCCUCCUGAUACUUCAGCUACAUAUGAUUACCUGAUAUUCAUUGGGCCAAAAGGUGCUCACUGCUAGCUCAGCCCGAAGCCAAUCUCUACCGGUGAAUCCAGUCACAUU